rnacentral:rRNA from 1 species
CUACACGACGCUCUUCCGAUCUAGAGGUGCGUCUGCAGAAAGUUCAAUAGAAGAACCGAGAGUAAAUGCACCUGCCGCCAUGACUACCUGACUUUCGUAACCCGGCAUAUCCGACGGAAUCGGAGAUACAAAGCUGUCAACAGCCGAACCGCUCUGAACACCCUCGCAAAAACGGCAUACCUUUUCUGCAUUACCGAGCAUGAUAAGCUGAAUGAUAUCUCCUCUUGCAUCAUUGUACUUAGGACUUGUUUCAUAACCGAGAAUUUCAAAAAGUGCCGAUGCAAAUACUGCAGUUUUAAGUGCUUCCCCCGUAACAUGAGGAGCAUGGUACGCACCCAUAAAAAGUUCUCUGUUUGCGUUAAGAGUAGCACCGAUUUCUUUGCCUGUACCGGGAGUGGUAAGUCUGUAAGCACACAUCUCUACAAGUUCUUUCUUACCUGCAAUAUAUCCUCCUGUCGGAGCAAUACCGCCACCCGGAUUCUUGAUAAGAGAACCUGCCAUCAUAUCAACACCAACCGACAAAGGUUCAACCUUGUCAAUGAAUUCACCGUAACAGUUAUCGAGCAUAAUAAUACUUUCGGGCGAAUUGGCUUUUGAAAUUUCACAAAGCUUUUUGAUUUCUCUCCAUGUGAGCGUAGGUCUUGUGCUGUAGCCUCUUGAACGCUGUAUGUAAACCAUUUUAGGCUUUUUUUCUGCAAUGUCGCUUGCGAUUUUGUCAUAGUCAAGUGUGCCGUCAGGAUUAAGCUCGGUCAUUUCAAAAUUGAUUGAAAAGUCCUUGAGUGAACCGGGAUAGUCACCCUCAAUGCCUAUGGCAGAACGGAUUGUAUCAUACGGCAUUCCUGUUACGGAAAGCAUUGUAUCCCCCGGUCUUAAAACGCCGAAAAGUGCAACUGUAAGGGCAUGAGUACCGCUUACGAAAUUAUGACGGACAAGUGCGUCUUCAGCAUCAAACACAUAGGCAUAGACCUUGUCAAGAGCCUCUCUGCCUGCAUCGUCAUAUCCGUAGCCUGUAGAACCCCAAAGGUGACUUUCACGAACAUCCGCAAGGUACAUGUACAGGAUAGGUGGGAGACUAUGAAGCAUGGACGUCAGUCUGUGUGGAGUCAUCCUUGGGAUACCACCCUUGUAGUACUGGGAUUCUAACCAGAGGCCAUGAAUCUGGUCUUGGGACACUGUCAGGUGGACAGUUUGACUGGGGCGGUCGCCUCCCAAAAAGUAACGGAGGCGCUCAAAGGUUCUCUCAGUACGGUCGGAAAUCGUACGAAGAGUGUAAAGGCAAAAGAGAGCUUGAUUGCAAGACAUACAGGUCGAGCAAGGACGAAAGUCGGACUUAGUGAUCCGGUGGUUCCGCAUGGAAGGGCCAUCGCUCAACGGAUAAAAGCUACCCUGGGGAUAACAGGCUGAUCUCCCCCAAGAGUCCACAUCGACGGGGAGGUUUGGCACCUCGAUGUCGGCUCAUCACAUCCUGGGGCUGUAUUCGGUCCCAAGGGUUCGGCUGUUCGCCGAUUAAAGUGGUACGCGAGCUGGGUUCAGAACGUCGCGAGACAGUUCGGUCCCUAUCUGUCGUGGGCGCAGGAUAUUUGAGGAGCUCUGUCCUUAGUACGAGAGGACCGGGAUGGACGUACCUCUGGUGCACCAGUUGUCAUGCCAAUGGCACGGCUGGGCAGCUAUGUACGGAACGGAUAAACGCUGAAAGCAUCUAAGCGUGAAGCCGACUCCAAGAUUAGAUAUCCCAUCGUAUAACGAGUAAGACCCCUUGAAGACUACGAGGUUGAUAGGCUGCGUGUGUAAGUGCCGUGAGGCAUUCAGCUUGGCAGUACUAAUAGGUCGAGGGCUUGACCA